GGAGUUGUGACUCAGUGGUAGAGUACUCGCCUAGUGUGGGUGAGGCACUGGGUUAGAUCCUCAACACCA
rnacentral:tRNA from 1 species